CGGGGGGCAGCAGUGGGGAAUAUUGGGCAAUGGAGGAAACUCUGACCCAGCGACGCCGCGUGAGGGAUGAAGGCCUUCGGGUUGUAAACCUCUUUCAGUAGGGAAGAAGCGAAAGUGACGGUACCUACAGAAGAAGCACCGGCUAACUAUGUGCCAGCAGCCGCGGUAAUACAUAGGGUGCAAGCGUUGUCCGGAAUUAUUGGGCGUAAAGAGCUCGUAGGUGGUUCGAUACGUCGGAUGUGAAAAUCAGGGGCUCAACCCCUGACCUGCAUCCGAUACGGUCGAGCUAGAGUUUGGUAGGGGAGACUGGAAUUCCUGGUGUAGCGGUGGAAUGCGCAGAUAUCAGGAGGAACACCGAUGGCGAAGGCAGGUCUCUGGGCCAAUACUGACACUGAGGAGCGAAAGCGUGGGGAGCGAACAGGAUUAGAUACCCGAGU
rnacentral:rRNA from 1 species